UCUCUGGUGGUUCAGUGGUUGGGACUCUGCACUUUCAGUGCAGGGGGCGCAGGUUUGAUCCCUGGUCAGGGAA
rnacentral:tRNA from 1 species